rnacentral:rRNA from 1 species
UACGAAGGAUUCGAGCGUUAUCCGGAUUUAUUGGGCGUAAAGAGCGUGUAGGCGGCCAGGUAGGUCUGGUGUGAAAACUCGAGGCUUAACCUCGAGAUGUCAUCGGAAACCAUCUGGCUAGAGUCCGGAAGAGGAGAGUGGAAUUCCUGGUGUAGCGGUGAAAUGCGCAGAUAUCAGGAAGAACACCAAUGGCGAAAGCAGCUCUCUGGGACGGUACUGACGCUGAGACGCGAAAGCGUGGGGAGCGAACAGG